GACGAACGCUGGCGGCGUGCUUAACACAUGCAAGUCGAACGGAAAGGCCCUGCUUUUGUGGGGUGCUCGAGUGGCGAAAGGGUGAGUAACACGUGAGUAACCUGCCCUUGACUUUGGGAUAACUUCAGGAAACUGGGGCUAAUACCGGAUAGGAGCUCCUGCUGCAUGGUGGGGGUUGGAAAGUUUCGGCGGUUGGGGAUGGACUCGCGGCUUAUCAGCUUGUUGGUGGGGUAGUGGCUUACCAAGGCUUUGACGGGUAGCCGGCCUGAGAGGGUGACCGGCCACAUUGGGACUGAGGUACGGCCCAGACUCCUACGGGAGGCAGCAGUGGGGAAUAUUGCACAGUGGGCGGAAGCCUGAUGCAGCGACGCCGCGUGCGGGAUGACGGCCUUCGGGUUGUAAACCGCUUUCGCCUGUGACGAAGCGUGAGUGACGGUAAUGGGUAAAGAAGCACCGGCUAACUACGUG
rnacentral:rRNA from 1 species